UAAACGAGGAAAUAUAAUUUCAAAGCAUUAACACUUCAAAUUCUUUGUAAACCUCUAACAAAAUUAGAUUCUAAAACUACAAUAACAACACAAAGACAUAUAUAUUAUACCCAGAAUACAAAAUCUCAAUUCAAUACUUACAAAAGAAACUUGGAACAACAGAUAAGGCGUGUAAGUGGGGAGAAGCCAAAAGACAGAAGAAUGCGGAUGUUCAACAAAAUAAUCUUAAGCCGUAAAAACAACCCAUAUCUAACCAAAAAAGUCCGCAGCUUUGCUAUCUCAAUCGAGAAAUCGAAACCUGAAAUGGGAAAUUGAGAAAUCGCUGAAACUGCUUUGCGGAAAAGCCCAUAAAUUGAGUCCAGGGAAAGAGGGCGAGAAUUCGAGGUUCUGGGUUGAAGGGAAAAGGCUGAGUCAGAUCAGUGGGAUACAGAAACAAAACGACGUCAUUCUAUUCUUCAAGAAACAACGUCACUUUGUUCCAAGUCUUGUGUAUGUCAACCUCGCCCUCACCGAUCACCCGGCAUAGCUAUCUCCAGAAAUACAAAAAAUUUCCAGUUUGACUGCUUGCAUCGCCAUCUCCCAGAGCCAGAGCCAGAUCAAGUACCAAACUUCAACAGAUGAAUCCCAACCCUAGCUCUGCAGCUUAAAAGAAUCAGCUGAUGCAGACUCUUUCUCCAGAAGAACCGCAAGAGAUCAAUAAUACAGCGGUGACACAGUUUUGGACUACAGGAAGGCUGCUGAUCUUUGUAUGAUCUUACAGAAGCUCGACACACUUUGGCAAACCAACUUGAUCUGCUUCAUCAUAGCUUCGUCUCCUGUAAGAUCUCAUUCACCAUAUCCUGUGUCCUAUUGUCAGGAAUGCCUUGUGCCCUCGUGGAAAGGAAACCAGCCAAACUGACGUCAGAUUGAGCGGCCGUCCCAGAAACAUGAGGAAUGUGAGUAGUUUAAGCCCACAUACCCUCAUAUCUUCCCAACAUUCACCAACCACAGUGACCUGUACUGGGCAAGACAGGCCUUCUCUGAUAAGUUAUUGGUUUGUUCAGAAUGGUGAACUUUCCAUGGCAUUCCUGGUACAAAAAUGAUACAUUUAAGAUCAUAUAUAAA